UGGGGAAUCUUGCACAAUGGGGGCAACCCUGAUGCAGCGACGCCGCGUGAGCGAUGAAGCCCUUCGGGGCGUAAAGCUCUUUCGACCGGAACGAUAAUGACGGUACCGGGAGAAGAAGCUGCGGCUAACUACGUGCCAGCAGCCGCGGUAAUACGUAGGCAGCAAGCGUUGUUCGGAGUUACUGGGCGUAAAGGGUGCGUAGGCGGUUUUCUAAGUUCGGUGUGAAAUCUCCCGGCUUAACUGGGAGGGUGCGCCGAAGACUGGGAAGCUGGAGUGUGGGAAAGGCAGGCGGAAUUCCUGGUGUAGCGGUGAAAUGCGUAGAUAUCAGGAGGUACACCGGCGGUGUAGACGGCUUGCUAGACCAUAACUGACGCUGAGGCACGAAAGCGUGGGUAGCAAACA
rnacentral:rRNA from 1 species